UGGCAAUGCUACUGGUUUGUCUGCCUACUUAGGUGAAUGGGGCUGCCAGUCUGGCAGUUUGCAUUGGCAAUAAAUCACCAGUAGACAUUUUAUUUAAAAAUUGGCACUGAUUUGGGGGAGGUAGGGGAUUGUCAAUUUGUUUUUAUUUUGAGGCCAGGCAUAGUCAUAACACACACAGGCCACCUGGAAAC
ensembl:misc_RNA